rnacentral:rRNA from 1 species
GCUGGCGGCGUGCUUAACACAUGCAAGUCGAGCGGUAAGGCCCUUCGGGGUACACGAGCGGCGAACGGGUGAGUAACACGUGGGUGAUCUGCCCUGCACUUCGGGAUAAGCCUGGGAAACUGGGUCUAAUACCGGAUACGACCUUAGGCUGCAUGGUCUUUGGUGGAAAGGUUUACUGGUGCAGGAUGGGCCCGCGGCCUAUCAGCUUGUUGGUGGGGUAAUGGCCUACCAAGGCGACGACGGGUAGCCGACCUGAGAGGGUGACCGGCCACACUGGGACUGAGACACGGCCCAGACUCCUACGGGAGGCAGCAGUGGGGAAUAUUGCACAAUGGGCGAAAGCCUGAUGCAGCGACGCCGCGUGAGGGAUGACGGCCUUCGGGUUGUAAACCUCUUUCAGCAAGGACGAAGCGAAAGUGACGGUACCUGCAGAAGAAGCACCGGCCAACUACGUGCCAGCAGCCGCGGUAAUACGUAGGGUGCGAGCGUUGUCCGGAAUUACUGGGCGUA